rnacentral:tRNA from 1 species
GCAUCUGUAGCUCAGUGGAUAGAGCGCCGGCCUCCGGAGCCGGGUGCGUGGGUUCAAUUCCCGUCAGAUGCA